UCAAUUGAGCUAACGAUUAGUGACUCGAUCGGGGACAUAACGACCGAUCAAAGACAUCCUUUGUUUCAAGGAUUCUCGAUCACCCAAAGCUAAUGGCCACUCAGGCCCCAAACCCUCUCCAACACUUACCCAAUUUUAGGUAAGGGAGACUAUCAACGCAUCUAGCGGAAGUAAAUCCUCAAAUCGCACUAUUUCGUGCUCACCGUCCUCAAGGCGAGUGAAGUCAGCUCGCAAUCCAAGGGUACCAGGUACCCCUAACAACUCCACACCAAGGAAG
rnacentral:lncRNA from 1 species